CUCCGUUGGCCUCAGGAGAACCAGGAGGAGCAACACUUAGGCAGGGACCUUGCUGAGAGUCAUCUUCAGCAUCUCUAAUGUGCUUCUGCAGAGCUUCUUUCACAUCCUUGUUCCGUGGCAGUAGAUCAGCCAAUUCAGCACGGGAAUCACAAGAGUGUAAAACAGUGAGGUCAUUUUUUCCUGUUCAAGGGACAAGGAAGAACUGGGAUGGAAGUACAUUAAGAGCAUGGUUCCCUGGAAAAUGGCAACAGCAGUGAGGUGGAAGAAGCGGGUGGAGAAAGCUUUGAACCUUCCCUCAGCAGAGUGGAUCUUUAUGACUGAUAAGAUGAUAUAGCAAUAAGAGACAAAGACUCCUGAGAUGGUACCCAGUUCAAUGAAUCAAAAAACAGUGAAUAAAGCCAGCUCAUUGACCU
rnacentral:lncRNA from 1 species